AAGGAACAGAGAUGGUAUUCUGAAAGGGAGGAUCCACCAGAUUAUAGCGCAAAGGGUCCUUAUUUCCAUCGAAAUUCCCAAAUCCCCAUCCAACAACAUAGAAACUGUAUCCAUGGAGAUGCAUGGGGUGGUGUGUCGCUGCAAGCACAUUUGUCCCUUGAAAAACAAUCUCCACUGUGGAGUUAUACUCGAGCACCCUUACUUCUGUUCCGCUGCUCGGCAACUGAUAGAUUAAUGGAAGAUAAUCAGCUGUAAAAUCGAACACCAGUGGUGGAUCACUAGGAAAUUUAUCUCCAUAUACACCACUGAUGUUAUAAUAGUAAGCUUGCAGUAUGUCAACUGUAGGGGUAUGGAAGCUUAUGUUGUUUAUACUUGAGGAGAAUCGCGUCCCAUUGGCCCCUGCACAUGAAUUAUUGACGCAUGGGUACGAGUUUACAGAAACAGUGUAAAUCAGGUUAGUGCUCGUGCUCAAUGGGACAUUGCAAGGAUGUUCCGCAUUUGCUAAGCUUCGGAGGCCGGCCAUGACCUGAACGGAUGCAUUUGUGUCAUUGUAUGCAGGAAGAUAAGGCAAGGAGGGAGGUGAAGAUGGAGUGUAGUAUCCGUUGUAUUGUACAAUAGCUGUGGUGGUUGUGUUAUCAUAAAAGUCUUGAUAUUUCGGGGCAACAGAAUAAGUUAUAGCCGCCAUGUAAUAGUGAUCCGGGCGUUGGUUAGCUUCUAGUAAGACAUCAUAGGUUUGGCCAGGAAAUAUUGUGAUAAAAUCUCGUGUCAAUGGUUUCGUGUAGCUACCAUCUGUUCCAACCACUGUCAUUUUAUGCUUGUCAAUGGAGAAGAAGAGAGCCUCAUGCAAGGCAGCAUUGAUUAUGCGAAGUAGAUAGGUCUUUCCAUGAUCCACCGUUAGCUUGAAUGUGUCUGCAAUUAGAGAGGGAAAGUUGUAUACUUAUGACUAGCCAAAAGAAAAAGAAAAAGUUUCCAUGAGGAUCCACUAAUUAUGAAGGGAUUGAUUGAUGAGGGGUGUAAAUUUGGCUCCAUAGUUCAAAAUUAUAUUUGGACUAGCCUUUUUUUGUGUUUUAAAUCAUGGCUCUACCAUCCUCAUAGCUAUAUUCCUCUUUCUUAGCAUUAAGCUUUAAAUAUGUUGAUGUUAAUAAGAAAAAGUAAUAUGGCUAACAUAUAAGAAAAUGAAAUUGUGUACAAUUUUAAAAUGGGAAGUUAAACUUUGUACCUGAUUUUGAGCAUGGAUAUAGAUCACCGGGUUGUCCAUUUAUCAAUAAAGCAUCAGAGGGGUCGGGGUCACCUCCGGUUGCAAGCCCUUCAUCUCGAACCGCAUUCACAUCAUUCUUCCACCAUUCUCCUGCAUUUCAACAACUUCAAUAAUUUUAGAUUUUGCUUUGUUGGUUAAUUCAUAAUAUGUAAAUUAACCUUUAAAAGUAACAACACUUAUACCUAAUAUGAUAGGGACCUCUCUGUCAGGUUUGUGAAAAGGAUACUUGGUUCCAUUCUUGGGAUAGAUAAUUAUAGCUCCAUGAACAGUGGCUCGGGUCCAAUCACUGUGAGCAUGCCACCAUAGAGUGCCUUCUUCAGUGGAAAGGAUGAUCUUCUGUGUAAACUUUGACCCUGGCCGAAUUGGGCAUUGUGUGAUAUACUCGGGACCAUCUGUCCAUGGAUAUCUAGGCAUGGUCACCCCAUGCCUGCGAAACCAUAACUAUACGUUAAAACUAGUACUAAUUUUCAAAGUAACAAAAGAUGGCAUGCAACAACAUAUUAUCAUAGUAACAAGAGGCAUCAAUUGUAUUUCAAUGGAACUAAAGCAAAUAACCUUAAAGUAUUGUUUUAAAUUUGACUUUAUUUUCAAAGUUAUAUAUUGUAGCCCCCUCUUAGAUAUAAAAGAAUGUAUGUCAUGCAAGCAUGCUACCACUGCUCUUUCUUUGAGACACGCACAGGACCUACCAAUGAAUGGUGAUGUUUUCGUUUCCCUUGUUAUAAACGUCGACAAUGAUCGUCUCUCCUUUCGUAGCAUAUAUGGUUGGUCCCGGAAAUUUUCCAUUUACUGUUAAGAUGUUCUUGGUGCUACAAAGCCUUUUAUAUGAAGCUUCCCUCACCUGCAACCAAUUAAAAGUUAGCCAUGCAACCUCAUCCCAAAAGAAAUAUUACAUGCAUGAAUAGUUGUAUCGAUCCAUUCAUGUAAGUGUAUAACCAAUUAGAAAUUGAUAGCAUGCAUGAAUGACUCAACGACACCAAGGUAGUAGGUCAUAUGGUACGAAAUGAGAGCCAUACCACUCCCUAAAUAUCAUGAUUACAAGGUGGCGUUAAGGCCAGAAUCAUAUAUAGAAUUUACCACAAAAGUAAGCCGACGGGUCGAAGCUUGGCAAUGGAUUCCACCACCAAAAACUAGAAACGCUAAAAUUUGCAGGAGGAAAACCUUCAUGAUCAGCCACAUUUUCCUUGGAAUAAAAGCCUCUUCUCUUGUCCUAAACACAACUCCUUCAAUUCUCUUACUGCUUUUGAUGUAUUUCUUUCAUAUAUGGUUCAUUAUAUAGGCAUGGUAAUUCUCUCGGGAUACAAUACGUGUCAAUAUAAGAGGAAGUGAUUUGAAUGUGUAUUGGUUUUCAAUGUUCUUUCAGGACGACUUCAAUGAGCAGGACCACUUCAAAAAUAAUUAAUUACGUACACGUUAUUGAUUAUUUUAGAAUAUUCUUUCAAAAGUCUUUUAUUGAUUAUUUCAACAAAUUUUAAUUAAUUAAAUAUAUGUAGAAUAAUUUUAAAACUUUGACUUCCCGUAUGAGUACAAUUUGUCAUGAUCGUUGGUGUAGAUAUAAAAAGAGACUAAAUUAAAGGAUUUUGAAAAUGUGUCGACAAGAACAUCAUUGAAAAAUUUGAAGGUUCCAAUUUUGUGGGUCAUGCAAUUUAUUGGACACUGAAUGGAUAAACAAGCCACGCUCUCCACUUAUUUUCUUUCAAUAUAUAAGCCUUGUACGUGAUGUUGGUUGACUAUUAUGAUAGUAAAUUCGGGAGGAUGUUUAAAUGGACGGGCAAGAUAAGAAAUAGAUUUUCUAUUAAGAUAUUUGAAUGGAGAUGAAAGCAUGGGUAUAGGUUUGUACUAAGGAAAUGAACAUAUGAUUAAAAUAAACCUGAUACAGUUAGUCUAUAAGAAUGGAUCCUGUUUCUAACCUUUUAACACACAAAUUUGGAAACCUAAACCUAUGGAUUGUUUCUUUCCUAUAAUGGAAUCCUAUGUUCCUUCUCAAAGCAGCGCUGACUUUUCCCUUCCUACCAACUACAAAGAGAAAAUCUUGACUAAUCUCGAUAAAGGUUUAUUUUAUCUAUACAUGCGAGGUCAAAGUUUUAAAAGUAUUCUACAUAUAUUUUAAAUUUAUUCUAAAAUAAUGUGUUUGAUUAAUUUCUUGGUCAAUUCUCAAAGUCAAACUUGUAUUUUGAAUUGGAAAAUUCUAGAGAUUCUAAGAAACUCGUCUUCUACGAUACACAACCUGAUUGAAGCUGAGCUGUGAGAAAUUUUCACAAUUGUUAGCAUUCUUCAGGCAUUUGGUUUAUUUAAAUUUUGGUAAUAGUCAUAUGAUAGUAAAUUCGGGAGGAUGCUUGCAUGCAUGGGCAUCAUGAUUUUUUUUGAGAUGUUUAAAUGGACGUGAAAGAUAAGAAAUAGAUUUUCUAUUAAGAUAUUUGAAUGGAGAUGAAAGCAUGGGUAUAGGUUUGUACUAAGGAAAUGAACAUAUGAUUAAAAUAAACCUGAUACAGUUAGUCUAUAAGAAUGGAUCCUGUUUCUAACCUUUUAACACACAAAUUUGGAAACCUAAACCUAUGGAUUGUUUCUUUCCUAUAAUGGAAUCCUAUAUUCCUUCUCAAAGCAGCGCUAAACCUAAACCUGAUACAGUUAAUCCUAUAUUUAAAAUACAAGUUUGACUUUGAGAAUUGACCAAGAAAUUAAUCAAACGCAUUAUUUUAGAAUAAAUUUAAAAUAUCCUUUCACAAGUCUUUUAUUGAUUAUUUCAACAAAUGUUAAUUAAUUAAAUAUAUGUAGGAUAUUUUUAAAACUUUGACCUCCCGUAUGAGUACCCUUCUGAAAAGUCGGGAGGAUGUUGGUUGACUAUUAUGAUAGUAAAUUCGGGAGGAUGCUUGCAUGUAACAAUUUUAUUUUAUUUUAUUUUAAAAUUUAUUCUAAAACCAUAGGUUUAGGUUUCCAAAUUUGUGUGUUAAAAGGUUAGAAACAGGAUCCAUUCUUAUAGACUAACUGUAUCAGGUUUAUUUUAAUCAUAUCUUCAUUUCCUAAGUACAAACCUAUACCCAUGCUUUCAUCUCCAUUCAAAUAUCUUAAUAGAAAAUCUAUUUCUUAUCUUUCACGUCCAUUUAAACAUCCUCCCGAAUUUACUAUCAUAAUAGUCAACCAACAUCACGUACAAGGCUUAUAUAUUGAAAGAAAAUAAGUGGAGAGCGUGGCUUGUUUAUCCAUUCAGUGUCCAAUAAAUUGCAUGACCCACAAAAUUGGAACCUUCAAAUUUUUCAAUGAUGUUCUUGUCGACACAUUUUCAAAAUCCUUUAAUUUAGUCUCUUUUUAUAUCUACACCAACGAUCAUGACAAAUUGUACUCAUACGGGAAGUCAAAGUUUUAAAAUUAUUCUACAUAUAUUUAAUUAAUUAAAAUUUGUUGAAAUAAUCAAUAAAAGACCUUUGAAAGAAUAUUCUAAAAUAAUCAAUAACGUGUAGGUAAAUAAUCAAGAACAUCUUAACAGUAAAUGGAAAAUUUCCGGGACCAACCAUAUAUGCUACGAAAGGAGAGACGAUCAUUGUCGACGUUUAUAACAAGGGAAACGAAAACAUCACCAUUCACUGGUAGGUCCUAUGCGUGUCUCAAAGAAAGAGCAGUGGUAGCAUGCUUGCAUGACAUACAUUCUUUUAUAUCUAAGAGGGGGCUACAAUAUAUUACUUUGAAAAUAAAGUCAAAUUUAAAACAAUACUCUAAGGUUAUUUGCUUUAGUUCCAUUGAAAUACAAUUGAUGCCUCUUGUUACUAUGAUAAUAUGUUGUUGCAUGCCAUUAUAGGAUUCCAUUAUAGGAAUAUAGUUAUGGUUUAGGUUUCCAAAUUUGUGUGUUAAAAGGUUAGAAACAGGAUCCAUUCUUAUAGACUAACUGUAUCAGGUUUAUUUUAAUCAUAUGUUCAUUUCCUUAGUACAAACCUAUACCCAUGCUUUCAUCUCCAUUCAAAUAUCUUAAUAGAAAAUCUAUUUCUUAUCUUGCCCGUCCAUUUAAACAUCCUCCCGAAUUUACUAUCAUAAUAGUCAACCAACAUCACGUACAAGGCUUAUAUAUUGAAAGAAAAUAAGUGGAGAGCGUGGCUUGUUUAUCCAUUCAGUGUCCAAUAAAUUGCAUGACCCACAAAAUUGGAACCUUCAAAUUUUUCAAUGAUGUUCUUGUCGACACAUUUUCAAAAUCCUUUAAUUUAGUCUCUUUUUAUAUCUACACCAACGAUCAUGACAAAUUGUACUCAUACGGGAAGUCAAAGUUUUAAAAUUAUUCUACAUAUAUUUAAUUAAUUAAAAUUUGUUGAAAUAAUCAAUAAAAGACUUUUGAAAGAAUAUUCUAAAAUAAUCAAUAACGUGUAGGUAAAUAAUCAAGAACAUCUUAACAGUAAAUGGAAAAUUUCCGGGACCAACCAUAUAUGCUACGAAAGGAGAGACGAUCAUUGUCGACGUUUAUAACAAGGGAAACGAAAACAUCACCAUUCACUGGUAGGUCCUAUGCGUGUCUCAAAGAAAGAGCAGUGGUAGCAUGCUUGCAUGACAUACAUUCUUUUAUAUCUAAGAGGGGGCUACAAUAUAUUACUUUGAAAAUAAAGUCAAAUUUAAAACAAUACUCUAAGGUUAUUUGCUUUAGUUCCAUUGAAAUACAAUUGAUGCCUCUUGUUACUAUGAUAAUAUGUUGUUGCAUGCCAUUAUAGGAUUCCAUUAUAGGAAUAUAGUUAUGGUUUAGGUUUCCAAAUUUGUGUGUUAAAAGGUUAGAAACAGGAUCCAUUCUUAUAGACUAACUGUAUCAGGUUUAUUUUAAUCAUAUGUUCAUUUCCUUAGUACAAACCUAUACCCAUGCUUUCAUCUCCAUUCAAAUAUCUUAAUAGAAAAUCUAUUUCUUAUCUUGCCCGUCCAUUUAAACAUCCUCCCGAAUUUACUAUCAUAAUAGUCAACCAACAUCACGUACAAGGCUUAUAUAUUGAAAGAAAAUAAGUGGAGAGCGUGGCUUGUUUAUCCAUUCAGUGUCCAAUAAAUUGCAUGACCCACAAAAUUGGAACCUUCAAAUUUUUCAAUGAUGUUCUUGUCGACACAUUUUCAAAAUCCUUUAAUUUAGUCUCUUUUUAUAUCUACACCAACGAUCAUGACAAAUUGUACUCAUACGGGAAGUCAAAGUUUUAAAAUUAUUCUACAUAUAUUUAAUUAAUUAACAUUUGUUGAAAUAAUCAAUAAAAGACUUGUGAAAGGAUAUUUUAAAUUUAUUCUAAAAUAAUGCGUUUGAUUAAUUUCUUGGUCAAUUCUCAAAGUCAAACUUGUAUUUUGAAUUAGAAAGUUCAAGAGAUUCUAAGAAAGUCGUCUUCUACGAUACACAACCUGAUUGAAGCUGAGCUGUGAGAAAUUUUCACAAUUCUUAGCAUUCUUCAGGCUUUUGGUUUAUUCAAAUUUUGGUAAGUAAUCAAAUAUCAUACACAACUUGAAGUGGUCCUGCACAUUGAAGUGGUCCUGGAAGAACAUUCAAAACUGCACAUUGAAGUGGUCCUGGAAGAACAUUCAAAACCAAUACACAUUCAAAUUACUUGGCUUAUAUUGAUACGCGUCGAGGAAUUGUUGAUACCCAAGCCACAUGUGAUCUGAUUUAAUGAAUCUCUGCCCUUCAUCCGAAGAAUUCUGGUGUUCUGGAUUGAUGGGAGCAAAAAGGUGACCAGUUUUACCUUGAGUCAAAUUCAAAUGACAAAAUAUAUUACCAGGGCAAUCAUGGACACCACCCUUAACUACAAAAAUAGCGCACACAGCCAAUCCCAUCAACCUAGUAUACACCAAUUUGGAGGCAGAUGUACCAUAUUACUGUGGAGUCUAUACUCUGUUGGCUGAACCACUCAAGAAUUCAACUUCCAGGAACAAAAGUACUGGAUUCAAUAUGUGGAGUAUAUGGCACCAUCUGGGUCAUGAAAAUCAAUGUCAAGUUAUAUGGAAAUAAUGUAGGAGUAGUGCUCAAAGGAGUAUAAGAAUUAUUCCAUAGGAUUUAAUUGAUUUACUUUUACAAUAUGAUCAAGAGAGAGAGGAGAGAAACCUGAAUUGGGAAUUGAAAUCUUGGUAAUUUAUUUGCCAGACUUUGCAUUUCCCUUAAUGUAGCUGCCACAAAGUUGCUGCUUUCAUUCUCAGACAGUCUGAAGCAAUUAGAAAAUGUGAAUCGGAGGCCCCCACAUUCCUUGGAUCUGUAGACACUUGAUGGACACAAAAUGUUUUCCAUAACUGUGCCAUCAUGGGCAUCUAUUUCUUCUAUACUUGAUGGAAGCUCUGGUAAUGAUUGAAGCCUCUUGCAACAACCCAGCCUAAGGCCUUUGAGCUGUGAAAGUUGAUUGAGACGUGCAGGUAGGGUAACAAAAUUGUUUCUGCUCAGAUCUAAAUAUUCCAAUGAGCACAGAGAGCUAAAGUCAUUGGGAAUUGCUCCUUCCAAUAUGUGGCAAUCACUUAGAUUUAACUUUCUUAGGGAUCUUAAACCAAAGAAAGAUGCAGUUGCCACACUAUUCUUAGAUUUAACUUUCUUAGGGAUCUUCAUAUUUAGUUUCAUAGGAAAGAUGUUUUCAAAGAAAUCUGCAUUCUUUGUUUCUAUUAUAGUAUUGACAUCUACCAGAUUAUUUUCUGACUUAGUAACAAGAAACCUAUAUGCCACACUAUUCUUAGCAUAGCCAAUGAACAUUGCAUCAAAGGUUUUAGGACCUAGUUUUCGUUUUUUAGGUUCGGGGAGAAGAACUUUAGCUAAACACCCCCACACUUUCAGGUAUGCUAUAUUAGGUGCAUAACCUUUCCACAACUCAUAAGGAGUUUUACUAGUUUUCUUGUAAGGUAUUCUAUUUUGAAUAUGGCAGGCGGAUAGGAUAGCUUCCCCCCACAAGUUCAAGGGUGCUCCUGAACUUACUAACAUUGCAUUCAUAAUUUCUUUUAAGGUCUUAUUUUUCCUUUAUGCUAUUCCAUUAGACUCAGGGGAAUAAGGAGGAAUAAGGAGGAGUAGUUUCAUGAAUGAUCCCAUGAUCUUCACAAAAAGAAUUAAAGGGGUUGGACUCAUACUCUCCUCCUCUUUCAGUUCUAAGCCUUUUAAUUUUCUUACUUAGUUGAUUUUCCAUUUCAUUUUUGUACUUGAUGAAAGCAUCUCUUGCUUCAUCUUUGUUUCUCAAAAGAUAUACCCUUGUAUACCUUGAGUAGUCAUCUAUGAAAGUUAUGUAGAAUUGUUUACCACCUCUAGUCAUUGUAUUUUUUAGGUCUCCUAAGUCACUAUGUAUUAAACUUAGUAGAUCUGAUUCUCUUUCAACUGAUUUGCAAGAUUUCUUUGUGGUUUUAGAUUCUACACAAGAUUCACAUUUUCCAUGGUUUUCUAAGGACAGAUUAGGGAUUAAACUCAAUUCAACCAUUUUCUUCAUAUAUGAAAAGUUCACAUGUCCUAGUCUACCAUGCCAAAUAUCACAAGAAUCAACUAUGUAAGCAAAAGAAGAAGAUGUAUUAUUAUUGAUAAUAUCAUAAACAUUCAACAUAAAUAAACCCUGAUUACAAUAGCUCUUUCCCACAAAUGCAUCAUUCUUGGUUAAAACUAUUUUAUCAUAGUCAAACAAGAUCCUCACUCCUGCUUUUCCAAGUAGAGAUACCGACACCAAGUUCCAACGGAUAUCUGGCACAUGAAGAACAUCACAUAGGGCAAGCACUUUUCCAGAUGUUAGCUUGAGGAGAACUUUCCCUUUGCCAAUCACUGGAGUAGAUCUAGAAUCACCCAUGAACACUUGGUCCUCUCCUUUCUUUAUAGUGGUAUAGGAAGUAAAUGCAUUUCUAUUCCCACAGAUGUGCCUAUUAACCCCAAAGUCUACCACCCAUUCCUUCAUAUUGGUGACCAUGCUCACCUCAGAGGAGAUUACUGUUGUGAUCACCUCUGUCUCUGCCAGAUUUGCCUUUGAACUGGUCUUCUCAAUUCUCUUCCUAUGGCGACAUUGAGUUGCAUGGUGUCUAGACUUGCCACAGACAAAGCAAUUACCGCGUUUUUUAAUAAUUAGAUUUUGGACCUUAUUUAAUGCAUUGGGCUUGGUCCUAAAGUUUUGUUUCCUGAACCUAUUAUUUUUGGGUUUAGAUUUUUCUUCUACUACAUUAGCUUUAGAAGACAAUUCCUUAGCUUUCUCAAUAUUGUCCCUAUUUCGGUUUUGUUCCUCAAUCCUAAUAUGGAUUAUGACAUCCUCUAAGGACAUUUGUUUCCUUUUAUGUUUCAUGUUGUUUUUAUAGUCUUUCCAAGACUCCGGAAGAGCCUCUACUAAAUAACCAGCCACAAAAGGUUCGGGUAAUUUAAUGUCUUCAAUAGCUAAGUCAUUAAUCAACAAGUGGUAGUCAUGGAUUUGAGAUGAGACAACUCUAUCCUCACUCAUUUGGAAAUUUAUAAAAUUCCCUAUGGCAUAUUUAUGAGUUCCCGCAUCUUGCAAAAUAUAUUUUUUAUUCAUUGCAUCCCAAAUUUAUUUUGCAACUUUAAAUUGACAAUAAAUAUCAAAAAGUUCAUUAGAAAGUGUACUCAGAAUAGCAUGGCUAACUUGUUUAUUUCCAGUUUCCCAGGUUGGUAACAUAUGAGAACCAUCUUCUGGUUUUGGAUCAGUCAAAAUAUGUCCUAAGUUCACCACAUCAAUUGUAGAGAAAACCCUUUCCUGCCAUCUCUUAAAGAAUGUCCCAUUAAAUGGAUUAAUUUUAGAGGUGUCAGGAUGGGUGUGAAUUAGGGAAGCUUUCAUUUGAAUUUAUUUCAAGAUUGUUGGAUUUUAAGGGUAUGGAAACAAAGACUAGCCCAAAAGACACAAACAAAGAACAUAAUGAAUAAAAAAAAAAAACUUAUCGGCUGAGGCAUGACAAGCACUGUCCUUGAAAUAGAUCCACCCUCCUCGAAGACGAACUCGGUGCACUAUGUGAGAAAGGGUAUAAAUAAUGUGAGAUAAGGUACAAAAAAAUGUGAAAAAAUGUACGAAUAAUGUGAGAAAAUGGUAUGCACAAUGUUAUAAAAUGGUAUGAACAAUGUGAAAAAAGAUACAAAUAAUAUGAGACAUGGUAUGAAUUAUGUGAGAGGGGAUACAAAUAAUGUGAGGGAAGGUACAAACACUAUGAGAAAGAGUACAAACAAAACAAGGAAAUGUACGAACAAUGUGAUAAAUGGUAGGAAAAAUGUAAGACAUGGUAUGAACAAUGUAAGAAAAAUAAAAAAUAGAUAAGAUUAAUAAAUUAUUUUUUCAUUAAUAUAAAUUAAAUAAUUAAAAUACCUAAGUUUUUCAAAAAUUUUAAUCAUGGUAGUGGGCCUUUGAUCAACCAAAGAUAGCCCAUGUAUCAUUUUCCAAAGUGAAGCACAACAACCUUAUAACAGUGAUGUCACAUAGCAAUUCAUUAUUCAUUAUUUUGUUUUCCCUUUUCAAUGUGGAUUUUCUUAAAGCUAUUAAAAAAACACACAAAAUCAAGAUUUGAGCAUGGGUCUUUCACAAUAUCUUUUAUAUACUAAUAAUUAUAAAUUAAUUAAAAUGAAAUUAUUAUAAAUAAGUUAAUUUUAAUUAUCUUAUUAUGUCUCAUAUAAAGUGAUUAGAUAUAGGAUAAAUAUAAAUUUAUAAAUAAAAUUAUUAACAUUUUCAAAUAAAAAAUAUAAAUAUAUAUCAAUUUUUUUUAUAUCCUUUAGUAUAUCUAAACUUAAUGCAUUAUCAUUUUAGUAUUAAUAUUUCCCAAUUCGGUAUAUUAUUGUCUGAGAUUACAAAUUUAUUAUACAUUUAUCAAUUUUUCUUAAAACAAUAUCAUUAUAUACAUUAUUACUUUUCUAUCAUUUUUUGAGUUAUUUCCAACAUUUCAUAAGGUUUUAUCAAUUUCCAUCUUAUAUAUAUAUAUAUAUAUAUUUCAGAAUUUUCAUUGAUAUUUCUUUAUAUAUCUAUAAACUCCAACUAAUGAUAUAUCGGUAAAAAUCAAUAUUUUUAUUCUUACUUAACAUAAGAAAGAAAAUUAUUCAAAUGGUGCAUAAAUUAAUGUGACCUCCUGAUGAGAAUGACAAUGACAACCAUGAGUCAUAAUUAGUGUAUGUGUGUGGUAAAUUAACUUAGUGUUUGAUAAAAUAAUUAUUUAUCAUCAUUUAAAAUUUAAAAAUAAAUUUAAAUGUUAAAUCAAAAUAAUUAACUUAUUCUAAAUACUAAUUUUUUUUAUUCUCUUUGUUCAUAUUUGGUGAUAACCAUGCUUUAUUUUUAGAAUUCUUUUUUUUUUUAGUAAAUAUUUUGUAGUUAUUUUGUAGCUUCACAAUAGUACUUUUUAAUAUAAAUGUUUAACAAGCUUGAGUUUAUGAAGAUAAAUAUUAAGAAAAAUUAAUGAGUUUAAAUAUAUCAAUAUAAUAACUUUUAAAAAAUUAAGUUGAUUUUACCAAAAUAAAAAUAAAAAUAAUUCAUCUUAAAAUUAAUUUCAAUAAUUAAGUAAUAAGGAUUAAGUUUUAUCAUACACUCUCUUAAUUAAUAAAUGACAUAACUUCUUUCAACAACUUCUUCGUUCUACUUUUGAAAAAAAAUAAUAAUAAUGUGAUAUUUAUUUAUUUAUGUCUAAAAUUUAAAUAUACUUGAAUUUGACUUAAAUCUAAAUAUAGCUUAAUAUUAUUAAGUGUUCAGACUAUUUUUUUUUAUUUGUGUCUAAAUAUUAUUAACUGUUAAAUUGUUUCUUUUUAUUAAUAUCAAAAUAUGUGAAGUGUUAAAUUUAUUUAUUUUUGGUUAAAAACAUUUAUAAAAGUAAUUGUUAUAUUUCUUCUUAUUUUAAUUUGAAAAGUUAUAAUUUAACAAAAUAGUAAUUUAAUUAACACAUCUAAAAAAUAUUAUAAUACAUUGUCAAAGUAAAAAUUUUAUAAUGAUAAUUAUGUAAUUAGUAAAUUAUAUUAUUGUACAAUCCAUUGUUCCAUGUCGUAUAAUAUAGAAUAGCUAUGCAUACCCAUCAGUGCAUAGACAUAUAUCUUUUGAUAAUCUAUCAUGAAUGUCACCUGGACUCUAAGUGAAGUAUGUAGCUAUUAUACUAUAAAGAUGGCAUAGGAAGAGGCUCCGGGUUUACUAGUUCUCACUCAACCAUAGAAAUAGGGAAUAUAUUGCACAUUAUUUUCAUCUAAAAGAAAGGUAGAAAGACCUUAGAAAUGGAACUUUUAGAUAAAACCUAAGGGUGGCAAUGAGAUGAGUCUAAGAAGGAUCACCUCAAUCUCAAUCUUAUGCCAUUUAUUUAUAUUAAAUGGGGUGAGAUAAGACAAAAUUAUAUUCGAACCUGUCUUGAAUUUGGUUCGAGGGCAAGAAGGGUCUUUACAAAAAUCAGCCUCAUUGUCAUUCUUAGGUACGCAUCUAUACCAAUGAAAGUUUUUACAUCUAUUAAAAAAUUUAAUGUUCCCGAUGUUAAUUAACUUCACCAGACUACAUACACUUCAUAAUCGUGAAAAAGUGUUAAAAUUCUCAACCAAUCAAUGACAUAAACUACAAUCAAGUUUAGUACAUCGUAACCCUAAAAUACCUCCAAACCCCAUUUCUUGUAAGACCCCCUUCUGAUUAGGUUGCAAAUGUUGAAGUGCAUUAUACAACUAAUUAGGCGAACAACAAGUGUCAAGGUAAGACUGCAAGCCAUACAUAUACAUAUGCAUAUAAAUUCGAAAUUGAAAGAAAAUAUUAUCAAAUUUUAAAAAGAUAAAUUUCAAUUUUUUUUUUGUCUUUGAUACAUUUUUUGAGCUUGUACCAUUUUGUUUUACAUAUUCAUUGGAGUAUUUCUUCAUCAUGGGUCUUCAUCCAUUAGGGCACCAAGGAGAGCAAGUUCAUUGGCACGUGCUUUAAUGGUAUGUAGGAAGGUAGUGAUGCUUUGCAAACCCUUGGUGUGAUUCUUAAGGUGGUUGUUGACUUGUUUAAUGUAGACAUGUGAUAGUUUGACAUAGGUAUUGGUGAAGAUGAUCUAUGCUUCACGAAAGGUUGUGGCACAGGCAAUGAAUGGAAUUAUGGUGGGUGAAACGGAGCCAAUAAGUGCAUUUAGGAUCAAUUGAUCUUGAUGAAGCAAGAAUAGGUUGGGUUGGGUAUUACAGUGUCGUUGGCAUAGUGGUGGGUGGACAAGGUUUGGUUCUAUCAAUAUAGCUAAGGCGGUCAAAGCCAAUAAAUAGUGUUUGGAAUUGAAAUCUUUAUGAUAUAUAGUUGGUAGUGGUUAGUUUAAGUGGGGCUCGAGCAAAAACAUUUAUUGAGAUGAGUAUUUGGUGUGACUCAUGGGUGUUGUGAAUAUUGAGAGUAGAAGUUACAGAAGUGGUGACAUCUUAGGUGGCCAUGAGGCUAUGAUGAUGGGGAGGAGCAUUAGAUGGCUUUGGCAUAGAAAAAGAGGUAAGAAGGAAGAACAAGUGGUGGUGAGGGUUUUCAGGUUAAGAAGCUUGAAUGCUCUGAUGUCAUAUUGAAGAAUGAGAUUGGUAAAUUAUUUUUCUAGGUUGAUUCUAUGUUGCUUAUAUGCAUGAUUCACCAAGGGUUUCUGACAAGCAUUAGCUAAGGGUGGCUGAACCCAAUGACAGACCAGAUGAAGGAUUAAUAAUAUAUUGCACUCCAGCAGUUCAACCAAUUCCCUUCGUUUCCUUAAUGACUUCUUUUGGUGACCUAUCAAUUUCUCUCUUGGAAAGUCUAGUAAUGGGUUGCCAAUUACCUAAAAGUUACUUCUGAGGUUUUGUUUUGUUGAUUCUAUGCUAACUGAUAAUCUGCAGAGGAAACAACUUGUUCGUCUGGAGAAGGUCUUGAAGCAUGCACUGUGAUGAAUUUGACCAGAAGAGUAAACUCAUCAAGUCCAUAUUAAGUCAUCAGGUUCCAGUAGAGCUAUUUCAAAAACUUCUUUAAUGCAUUAGCAUUUAAAAAUUGAAACAAUAAAAUAACAUAUAUUAUUGAUACUAUCAUUUAAAACAAGAAAUAUAUUGUUGAUAAUGGCAUUUAAAACAAUAAAAUAGUGCAUUAGACCUGCAUUCAAAUCUUCAAUUCUCAAACACCACCAACCCACCCAUGAAUAGAGAAAGAGAAGAGAACCCUAGCAAAAGUAGAGAGGUUCGAUUCUCAAAUCUUCAAUUUUCUUUUUAUGUGUUCAAGUCAUUUUUAUUUGUUAAAUGAUUCCAGCUACUACUUGGGUCUAGUAUUUCCUUGGUGUAUAUAUCAUGCACUUCUCAGUAGAAUGCCCAUAGACAUGGAGAAACAAUUUUUUAUUUAUUUGCAAUGCCUAAUAUAAAUUAAUAAGCACCUAAUUUUUUGUUUCAGCUAUGAAUGGUAUUUUUCUCUAGAUCAUAAGUACGUUGGUUGAAUUUUAAAAAAUUUAUACCAUUUCAGCGACUAAUUAAUAUCAUGCAAUAGAAAAACAAAGUUGAAAUUUGGGAUAAUAAAUAUCAUUAAAGUACAAAGAAAGUAACUUAUUGGGAGCAAAUUCUUCACAACCUGGCAUUCGCCUUUAGAUUAAAUAAUUUAUUAAUAAUCUCCUCUUUCUUUCUAAACUUAUACCGCUGUUUAUGAAAGUUUCUAAAAACCAAAGCCCAAAGCCUAGACUAUAAAAAGGAAAUAAUCACUUGGAGAGGGGUUGUUUGUUUUUCUUGAGAGCCUAAUAAAUGCAACGACAUAGACAGAAAGAGGCGGAAGAGUUGAGUCGGAGGAUCAAGAAACACAACCAUUCUUCUCUUUCAUUAGGGUUUUUGGCUGACUCUAAGGCCGUCUUACCUUCCUCUUAGAAUGAUGGCCUCUCGUUUCUAUACAUAUCCUUUCAUGCAUUUUCUGGCUCUCCCAUUCUCUUUUUCAAAGCUACGUCUUUCCUCAUAGACCCUGUUUGGUUUCUAAGAAAGUGGUCUAGGUCUCUUUCUUUUUCUUGAUUUAUCUUUUGGUUUACAAGAAUCAGCGACACAAUAAGACUGCCAUGAACGCAUGACGCAGCCACGUGGGAGAAGGCAGCAACCACUUUCGCAUUUUUACUAUGUAUCUCCAGAAACUCCUUUGUACAGCCCACACACGCGCUAAUGAAGCAGAUUCAGCAGAUUUUAAGAGGGGGAAUCUUGAAACCACACAACAUCAAGAGACUUGGCCGGAAGUGUGAUGAUGGGUGUUUCCGAAGAAGAGUUAUAAUUCGCCCACUGUUAAAUAUGGUCAUAGCCGUGAAGGGUCCCACGAGCCUUGAAUUUGUCACUACAUGCAAAAUAUAUGCAGAAGUGAUUGAAAAUGCAUGGCCACCUUUUCCUGCAUGUGAAUGUGUUGAGCUCUAUGGUGCAAUUACUAAUGGAAUUCUCAAUUUAGCUGAUAAGUAUUUUGAGAUGCAAAAGCAUGAUGCUGUCCGGGCAUCGGAAAUUUAUCAGAAAGCAGGAGAGCCAUCAAGCAUUCACUCGACAAGCAAGAGUAACACAUAGGCCACACCAUUCUCCAAAUAGACACAACAACAUACAUUCUUGAAGGCAAGUCCCUUUUUAAAAUUUUAUCUUAGUUUAAUUUUAAUUUAUUUAGUUAGUUUAGAUGUUUUUUUCAAAAUUAGUUUAAUUAAUUCUACAUGAUAAAGCUCUUAUUUUUCAUUUCGAUUUAGUUUAGUGUUGAUUUUUCUUUUAGUUUAAGUGUGUUUGCGAUUUUAAUUCAAUAGCUUAAUUAUUCUUAUUAGAUAAAGUUCAUAUAUAUAUAUAUAUAUAUAUAUAUAUAUAUAUUAUCCCAAAUUAGUUUAGUUUUAAUCUAUCUUUUAGUUUAAGUGUGUUAGUAAUUUUAAUUUAGUUGUUUAAAUAAUCAUGUGAGAUAAAGUUCAUGUUUUUAAUUCUAAUUAGUUUCAUCUUAAUUUAUUCUUUAGUUUAGAUUUGUUGUUGACAGUAAUUUACUAUUUUAAUUAAUCUUAUUAGAUAAAGUCUAAUUAAAAUUAGGUUAGUUUUAAUUUAUUCUAUAGUUUGAGUGUGUUUGCGAUUUUAAUUCAAUUGUUUAAUUAAUCCUCUUAGGUAAAGAUCUUGUUUUUAAUUCCGAUUUAGUUUAGUUUUAAUUUACUUAUUUAUUUAUUUUAGUUAAGAUGUGUUUGUAAUUUUAAUUCGACAAUUUAAUCGACCUUAUUAGAUAAAGUUGAUGUUUUUAAUUCCAAUUUAGUUUAAUUUUAAUUUAUUUUUUAGUUUAAAUGUGUCUGUGUGUUUAAUUGACCUUAUGCUAGCUCUUGAUUUGUUAUUCUCAAUUUAGGUGUUUUCUUGAAUCUUAGUCAUUAAUUCUUGGUGGAUAUCUCAUUAGUUUAUUUUAUCUAAGUCUUAAUAAUUUAUUAUUUCGAUAGUCUCUUGUCAAAUUUACUUUUCAGAGGCCAUCGGAAAAUAGUGAAGAUUGACCUCCAUUCUCACCACUUUAGUUUGUUUGGUUGUCAAAAUUUUUACUUUGUGAUUUUGUUUGCUUUUAUUUUGCUUGUUUCUUAUGUUUUGAUUGUUUUCAAAUUAAUUUCUUUUAUUUUAAAAUAAAAUAUUUUUCUCAAAAGAUCCAUUUGAAAAUUCUAUUUUAAAAAUCAUUCAUUUAGACUCCUUAGAAUCAAAAUCUCAUUUUUUAAUAAUAUGUAACCAUGUCUUGAUCGGUUUGUAUCUUUCACAGUUUUCAAUCAAAAUUCCGAUUUGGAAUGGAAUAUGAAUCCGAGCUUGUGGUCCCAAACAAAUGGGAUAAUUCUGGUCUAGAUUUGUGUAUAUCAAUUGAGGAAUUGGUGGAACCCCUACAUAAGAAAAUUCUUCAAAACUCAUCUUUGCAGCCACCUUUGCUAUUUCAUGAAAUCAUGUAUAUUUAUUAUUUAGGAAUUAUAUACAAGAUGUAUGUGAUAAUUGAUGAUUUCGUAUACUUUGAUCAUUUUUGCUAGGCUAAUUAGAUAACAAGCACAUUAGGAUUUUUUUUAUUUUAUUAUCUAACCCCUCAUGUCUUGUAGAAGCAUGUUACAAGUCAUCUAUCCUAAUAUAUAUUUUAUUAUAUAUUAGUUUUUUUUUUCUUUUUUUAAUCCUAUCUAUGUUGUUGAUAUUAAUGCAUUGAAUUUGAUGCUACCUAAAACAAAAUUAUAUUUCAUGUCCUCUAUUAUAAGUGGACAAUCAUUCCUUAUUUUAGAUUUUAGAUAAAGAACGAAUAAUGAAGAUUGGAGUUGUAAGAAAUUAGGAGAUCCUAAUUUUAAAUAUGUAACAAAGUUCUAUAAUCACUCCAGUACGUUUAAAAUUUGUAUUUCUUUCUAAUAUGGGAGCAAACUUUUUCCUUCUUUCUUAUAAUUUUCAUUUGGGAAUGAUUUAAAAAUAAAUAAAUAAAGGCCCUUCUAAAUAUUAAAAAAACACUCUCUUAUAAAAAUUAAUUAGGUGGAUGGUAAGGUCAAAUUCGGGAUAGCUUCAUAUUUUUUGCUUUAACUGAAAAUUAAAAUCAAAAUUAAAGUAAGAAUUUUUAAGAUGUUGUAAAAGUUUUAUUAAACAUGAAAGAACUUAUUGUGUAAACAAAAAUAGAACUAUAGAAUUUUUAUAAGAAAUAACAUUUUUAUGACUUCUAUAUGAAACCUUUUUUAAAAGUGAUAAGUUUUUUUUUUUAAAUAAUUAAAUAGGUAUAAAAACUUUUAUUCAACUUAAUUUUUUUUAACGGUUAAAAGUCAAUUCAAAUAAAAUUUAAAUAUAUUUGAAAAUCAUUUUUAAAAAUAAAAAAAAAAAACCACUUUUUUUUUAAUUUACAUUUAAUUCAUGAAAUUUCAUUUAUUGUUAUUUAUUUUCGGGAUUUAAUUCUUUGCAAUUGUUUUUGAGUGUUUAUAAAGUAUAAUUAGGUUAUGCCCAAAUUUAUUCCUUUAACUCUAUCCAUUAGAUAUAAGUAGCGUGAAAUUUUGGCCCAUCUCCACCUUUCUUCACUUCUGACAUUGUCAUGCACUACUUCAUCAACUCCAAACACAACCGCUGAGGAUCGAAGAAAAUGAGACAAUGGUCAAUAAAAUGAAAGUUUAAUCAUUUAAUCUUUUUUAGCACACCCCUCAUAACUGUCAGUGAUUUCCUGCCAACUUAACAUAUUGACAUGGACUUGGAGAGUUCGGUCAAUUGCAGCAGCUUGGUUAAUUGUAAGUGUCUUUUCUCUAAACCAUAAAUUCCUACGUUUUAAUUUACAAAAGCCAGUGAUUUUUUUUUACUUAAGGAAGCAGGAAAGGGUUUAAAAUAAGAGUUGAAAAGUAUGCCAAUUAUUUUAACUUUAAGAAAAAACGUUUAUUUUAAUUUAAAAUAAGUAAAUCAAAAGGAAUUGAUUUUAUCUCAAUUGUAUAAGAUUUUAUAAAAAUUAUCUUAUUUGCAAAAUAUUUUCAGAUGUAAAAGUAAAAAAUUAAACAAAUCAUUUGAUGAUCAUAGUCUAAUUUUAAAUUAUUAGAAUAAGUCAAUCCUCUAAACUAUAUCAUUUAUAAUUUUUUUGAUUAUUAAUAUGAUACGUAACCUUCCACGGAAUUGGAAUAAAAUAUGGAUAAUUAAAAAAUGUCAACUAUCCCAUUUCAAACUUUUCUAAUAUAGCAUGAUAUUUUAACAUGAUGAAUGAAAUGGGAAUGACCAAAAAUUGUAAAAUCAAAGAUAUAUCUAUUGUGGACAUGGCAUUCGGAGGCUUCUUAACAUUGUAUUGGUCUACUUAAUGAGUUGAAACAGGAACACAACACCAAAUUCUCUUUUUAUAAUCAAAGACUUCCAUGGAAAAUUCCACCAUAUCAUAUCUCAAAGAUUAGUCAAAUUCCAUUAUCUUUAUAGACUUUUAACAAUCCAAGAAAUUGACAUUAAUAAUCCCAUACACAAUAUUCUACAACUUUACAUUAUCUUGAUUGAAGAUAAUCAUAUUAUUUCAUUAACAAUUCAAGAAAUUCCAUUAUCAAUCAAAAAAUAAAUCAUGAAAGCUAAAUAAUACAAAUAUUCAAUGAAAUCUUUGGCGUGUUAUUUCUUUACAGCUUCAACAUGGUGGCAUGUCCGACGGAGGAGGCAGCAUUUGAGCUUCCGGGUGUUUACCAUUUUUCAUUAUGAACGCAGUUUCCAUGCCCCAAGUCAGAUGGCGUUCUACAUGGCAGUGCAUGAACCACACUCCUGCAACAGAGAAAAUAUACCAACAUUACACCUAACUUAAUUGUAAUAUUAAGAAAAAUUAUUUCCUUGGUAUGCAGGUUAGCAGUUUCAAGGGUUUUUAUUUUUUAUUUUUAAUAGACGACAUGAGUGCUUGGAACAUACCAGGGUUGGAUGCCUCAAAUCUGAUUGCAACCCAACCAUUCGAAGGAACGGAGAUGGUAUUCUGAAAGGGAGGAUCCACCAAAUUAUAGCGUAAAGGGUCCUUAUUUCCAUCGAAAUUCCCAAAUCCCCAUCCAACAACAUAGAAACUGUAUCCAUGGAGAUGCAUGGGGUGGUGUGUUGCUGCAAGCACGUUUGUCCCUUGAAAAACAAUCUCCACUGUGGAGUUAUACUCGAGCACCCUUACUUCUGUUCCGCUGCUUGGCAACUGAUAGAUUAAUGGAAGAUAAUCAGCUGUAAAAUCGAACACCAGUGGUAGAUCGCUAGGAAAUUUAUCUCCAUAAACACCACUGAUGUUAUAAUAGUAAGCUUGUAGUAUGUCAACUGUAGGGGUAUCGAAGCUUAUGUUGUUUAUACUUGAGGAGAACCGCGUCCCAUUGGCCCCUGCACAUGAAUUAUUGACGCAUGGGUACGAGUUUACAGAAACAGUGUAAAUCAGGUUAGUGCUUGUGCUCAAUGGGACAUUGCAAGGAUGUUCCGCAUCUACUAAGCUUCGAAGGCCGGCCAUGACCUGAACCGACGCAUUUGUGUCAUUGUAUGCAGGAAGAAGAGGGAAGGAUGGAGGCGAAGAUGGAGUGUAGUAUCCGUUGUACUGUACAAUAGCUGUGGUGGUUGUGUUAUCAUAAAAAUCUUGAUAUUUCGGGGCAACAGAAUAAGUUAUAGCUGCCAUGUAAUAGUGAUCCGGGCGUUGGUUAGCUUCUAGUAAGACAUCGUAGGUUUGGCCAGGAAAUAUUGUGAUAAAAUCUCGUGUCAAUGGUUUCGUGUAGCUACCAUCUGUUCCAACCACUGUCAUUUUAUGCUUGGCAAUGGAGAAGAAGAGAGCCUCUUGUAAGGCAGCAUUGAUUAUGCGAAGUAGAUAGGUCUUUCCAUGAUCCACUGUUAGCUUGAAUGUGUCUGCAAUUAGAAAGGGAAAGUUGUAUACUUAUGACUAGCCAAAAAAAAAACAAAAAGUUUCCAUGAGGAUCCACCAAUUAUGAAGUGAUUGAUUGAUUAGGUGUGUAAAUUUGGCUGCAUAGUUCAAAAUUAUAUUUGGACUAGCCUUUUUUUUGUGUGUUAAAUCAUGGCUCUACCAUCCUUAUAGCUAUAUUCCUCUUUCUUAGCAUUAACCUUUAAAUAUGUUGAUGUUAAUAAGAAAAAGUACUAGGGUUAACAUACAAGAAAAUGAAAUCAUGUACAAUUUUAAAACGGGAAGUUAAACUUUGUACCUGAUUUUGAGCAUGGAUAUAGAUCACCGGGUUGUCCAUUUAUCAAUAAAGCAUCAGAGGGGUCAGGGUCACCUCCGGUUGCAAGCCCUUCAUCUCGAACCGCAUUCACAUCAUUCUUCCACCAUUCUCCUGCAUUUCAACAACUUCAAUAAUUUUAGAUUUUGCUUUGUUGUUUAAUUCUUAAUAUGUAAAUUAACCUUUAAAAGUAACAACACUUAUACCUAAUAUGAUGGGGACCUCUCUGUCAGGCUUGUGAAAAGGAUACUUGGUUCCAUUCUUGGGAUAGAUGAUUAUAGCUCCAUGAACAGUGGCUCGGGUCCAGUCACUGUGAGCAUGCCACCAUAGAGUGCCUUCUUCAGUGGAAAGGAUGAUCUUCUGGGUAAACUUUGACCCUGGCUGAAUUGGGCAUUGUGUGAUAUACUCAGGACCAUCUGUCCAUGGAUAUCUAGGCAUGGUCACCCCAUGCCUGCGAAACCAUAACUAUACGUUAAAACUAGUACUAAUUUUCAAAGUAACAAAAGAUGGCAUGCAACAACAUAUUAUCAUAGUAACAAGAGGCAUCAACUGUAUUUCAAUGAAACUGAAGCAAAUAACCCUAAAGUAUUAUUUUAAAUUUGACUUUAUUUUCAAAGUAAUAUAUUGGAGCCCCCUCUUAGAAAUAAAAGAAUGUAUGCCAUGUUGGCAUGCUGCCACUGCUCUUUCUCUGAGACACGCAUAGGACCUACCAGUGAAUGGUAACGUUUUCGUUUCCCUUGUUAUAAACGUCGACAAUGAUCGUCUCUCCUUUCGUAGCAUAUAUGGUUGGUCCCGGAAAUUUUCCAUUUACUGUUAAGAUGUUCUUGGCACUACAAAGCCUUGUAUAUGAAGCUUCCCUCACCUGCAAUCAAUUAAAAGUUAACCAUGCAACCUCAUCCCAAAAGAAAUAUUACAUGCAUGAAUAGUUGCAUCGAUCCAUUCACGUAAGUGUAUAACCAAUUAGAAAUUGAUAGCAUGCAUGAACGACUCAAUGACACCAAGGUAAUAGAUCAUACGGUAUGAAAUGAGAGCCAUACUACUCCUUAAAUAUCAUGAUUAGAAGGUGGCGUUAAGGCCAGAAUCAUAUAUAGUAUUUACCACAAAAGUAAGCCGACGGGUUGAAGCUUGGCAAUGGAUGCCACCACCAAAAACUAGAAACGCUAAAAUUUGCAGGAGGAAAACCUUCAUGAUCAGCCACAUUUUCCUUGGAAUAAAAGCCUCUUCUCUUCUCUUGCCCUAAACACAACUCCUUCAAUUCUCUUACUACUUUUGAUGUAUUUCUUUCACAUGUGAUUCAUUAUAUAGGCAUGGUAAUUCUCUCGGGAUACAAUACUUCCUCUCCACGUGUCAAUAUAAGAGGAAGUGAUUUGAAUGUGUAUUGGUUUUUAAUGUUCUUUCAGGACGACUUCAAAAUAAUUAAUUAUGAUAUUUCUUACAAGUUACCUACGCGUUCUUUUAGAAUAAAUUUAAAAUAUUCUUUCACAAGUCUUUUAUUGAUUAUUUCAACAAAUGUUAAUUAAUUAAAUAUAUGUAGGAUGCUUUUAAAACUUUGACCUCCCUAUGAGUAGCCUUCUGAAGAUCGUUGGUGGCAAAGUUGUUUUCGUAUAGUUAAUACAAUUUGUCAUCGUCGUUGUUUUCGUUUGAAUGGGACAAAGUUGUUUCCAAUUUUUUUUAAAACUUGGGAAUUGAGAUUAUAAAAGACAAAGUUGUUAAUACAACUUCAGAAUCGAUGAUAAACUAAUUCGGUAUUUCAGAAUUUUCCAUAAAAAAACACAAAAAUAUAUUUUGUAAAAAGUUGAAAAUAGGAUACAAACAACCCCUUGUAGUAUUUUUUUUUUUCUCAACAAAAACCAAUUUAAUAACAAUAAUAAUAAAUAAUUAUAGAUUUAAAAGAUAAUCUGAAAUUUCUUUCAAUAUAUAAGCCUUGUACGUGAUGUUGGUUGACUAUUAUGAUAGUAAAUUCGGGAGGAUGCUUGCAUGUAAAAAUUUUAUUUUAUUUUAUUUUUAAUCAUGGAGCACAUUUUGAUAGAUUCUGAUUUAUAAUACUGCAUCAAUGGUCAUGAACAUUGCAAUCAUGAUUUUUUUUGAGAUGUUUAAAUGGACGUGAAAGAUAAGAAAUAGAUUUUCUAUUAAGAUAUUUGAAUGGAGAUGAAAGCAUGGGUAUAGGUUUGUACUAAGGAAAUGAACAUAUGAUUAAAAUAAACCUGAUACAGUUAGUCUAUAAGAAUGGAUCCUGUUUCUAACCUUUUAACACACAAAUUUGGAAACCUAAACCUCUGGAUUGUUUCUUUCCUAUAAUGGAAUCCUAUAUUCCUUCUCAAAGCAGCGCUGACUUUUCCCUUCCUACCAAAUACGAAGAGAAAAUCUUGACUAAUCUUGAUAAAGUUUUAAAAGUAUUCUACAUAUGUUUUAAAUUUAUUCUAAAAUAAUGUGUUUGAUUAAUUUCUUGGUCAAUUCUCAAAGUCAAACUUGUAUUUUGAAUUAGAAAAUUCAAGAGAUUCUAAGAAACUCAUCUUCUAGGAUACACAACCUGAUUGAAGCUGAGCUGUGAGAAAUUUUCACAAUUGUUAGCAUUCUUCAGGCAUUUGGUUUAUUUAAAUUUUGGUAAGUAAUCAAAUAUCAUACACAACCUGCUCUUUGAAGUGGUCCUGGAAGAACAUUCAAAACCAAUACACAUUCAAAUUACUUCGCUUAUAUUGAUACGCGGCGAGGAAUUGUUGAUACCCAAGCCACAUGUGAUCUGAUUUAAUGUAGCUGCCACAAAGUUGCUACUUUCAUUCUCAGACAGUCUGAAGCAAUUAGAAAAUGUGAAUCGGAGGCCCCCACAUUCCUUGGAUCUGUAGACACUUGAUGGACACAAAAUGUUUUCCAUAACUGUGCAAUCAUGGGCAUCUAUUUCUUCUAUACUUGAUGGAAGCUCUGGUAAUGAUUGAAGCCUCUUGCAAUAACCCAACCUAAGGCCUUUGAGCUGUGAAAGUUGAUUGAGGCUUGCAGGUAGAUUAACAAAAUUGUUUCUGCUCAGAUCUAAAUAUUCCAAUGAGCACAGAGAGCUAAAGUCAUUGGGAAUUGGUCCUUCCAAUAUGCGGCAAUCACUUAGAUUUAACUUUCUUAGGGAUCUUAAACCAAAGAAAGAUGCAGUUGCAAACGCCUAGAGCGUGGAAUUUCUGCAGGCAACAACUGGAAAGAGAGGAGCAAAUUCCUUGGCUUGGAUUCUAGUCCUUUACAUCCCUCAAAUGAUAAUACUUCAAGGUUUUCUGAAAGAGAAAUAGAGGGCGGCAGCUCUUUUACAGAGUUCCAGCUGCUCCGAGCUUCUCUAAACCUUGUAGGCUCCCCGAACCUCUGGCAAAUUGUCUAGUUUUGAGCAACCAGAUGGAAUAAGAGUUUGAAGAGAUUUCAACUUACAAAUGCUAUGUGGAAGAAUUGCAAGGCUUUUGCAUUCUCUCAGAUUCAACAGAACAAGUCCACUUAGAUGUUGGAUAGGUGAAGUUAGCUCUUUUAGAGCAGUUCCAUCUAAGAAAAGUUCCAACAAACUCCCCAUAUUUUCCAAGACUUCUGGAAGCUCUUUUGAGUUUUAAGCAAUCUGAGAGAAUAAGAAUUUCAAGGGAUCUCAACCUAUAAAUACAGCUUGGUAAUGACUCAGGGUUUUGACAGUUCCUCAGAUUUAAUAAAACAGGUCCAGUCAGAUAUUCAAUCGACAAGGGCAAUCCUUUUACUGCAGUGCCCUCCAAGGAAAGCUCUGAUAAAUGUUUCAUGCACCCUUGGACCUCUGGAAACUUCUUGAGUUUCGAGCACCCGGAGAGAGUAAGAAUUUUGAAGAGAUUCCAUACAGAUGCUUCUUAGAAAACUCUUAAGAUUCUCGCAGCCUUCUAAAUUAAGGAAAACAAGCUUGUUUAGAUCUCCAGUGGAUGGGUGAACCUUGGACAAACUUGUACAACCUUCAAGAAUUAGUCUCCUAAGGUUUGGGGCCCCCGAGAAGUCUGGGGUUUCAAUCAGGUGUUGGGAGUAGCUAAGUUUUACGAAUUUCAAUUGCUGAUACAUCUGUCAAAAACAAAACAGAAAAAAUGAUUAUAAUUCGUUUAAAGUGAAAGACGAAACUUGCAAAGAUUAUAAUCAUAUACCUUGAGUCCUUUCCAAAGUUGUUCAACUCGACUGUAACUCAUAUUUAGCUCGACAAGCUGCUCAGGAUGAAAAUUUAAUGGGAGGGAUUUCAGAGGGUAUCCAUGCCAAUAUAGACAUCUUAAGUUGUUCGAUAGAGAUUUGAAGUCUCCAGAAAGAAGCAAUUUACAGUCUUUGAAUUGAUUGAGCUUAUUCAUCCUUGUGCAAGCAUCAGCCAGCACAUAACUGUUUCCAAGAAAAAUAUUCAAAGCUUCCACAUAGCCGCACGUUACAGACUUUGAGCAAUCUUAAUUUGUUCAUCUUCAUGAAGGCAUCAAAACUGAAGUGUAGUUCCUUUGAUGCUGACAAGUCAAGGACUAUGCCUUCAACUACUUCAGUUCCUUGCAAUUAACCAGGAACAGAGUAUGGAUUGGAAAUUAAAAUCACAAAAUUCUAAAAGGAAAAGCACAGAAAGCAUCAAACUAAUGACUUGUUUUCUUGUUUUUUUAGGCAGUGUUCUAGGAAGCAAGUAUGAAGAUAAAAGAAAAUGCAUCUACUAAGACAGAAACUCAGGGAAAAGUUAGCAAAGGAUUCAAAUCAAAUCAUUCCCCCAGCUUUAUAUCUGCCUUUGCAUACAUAAAUAUGCAAUACCUUAUUAAAAUUGUACAUAUAUGUGAGUUUCUCAAAUAAGUUGAAAUUAUUCAAACUUCCUCUUCACCUAUAGAGCUUAUAUAUACAAAAAGGGAACACACACACAAAGUUCAUGUAUUUAGGUCUUACUAUGUUUCUAGUUAAUGCAUCACUAACAUCUUCAUGAAUCCACAAUCUGCUGUGUUUUCCAGGAUAUUUAAGAGAUUCUUGCCAAACAAUUUCCCAACCCAUUUCUUGUAACAAAUCAUGCAUGCACAACUUAUUAUCUGAAACAAUUAUGAGUGACUUAUCAACGAGAACCCUUAUUCCAAUAUCCGGAAAGAAACCACAACUCUCUAGUAUUUCUGUGACAAAAUCUUUGUCCUCCCAUUUUCAAAAGCAUGCAAUAUCGAGAAAUAUAUCUCUUUGUCAUCUAAUCCAUCAAAACCCAUUUUAAGCACGUUCUGAAUUUCCAUGUUGCUAAUUCUUUUUAGUUUGUCCAAUUCACUUUUCCAUUCAAGUAUGCUCUUGCUAUACAAAAAAGCACCUAAGACUUCAAGAGCUAAGGGAAGACCCUUACUAUAAUGUAUUACAUCAUAGCAUAGCUGCAUAUAAUCUUCUCCAGGGUGGUUAUGUUUAAAGGCAUACUGACGAAAGAGUUGAAAAGCUUCACUAUCCUCUAAUCCCCUAACUUCAUAAAUUGCACUGACUCCAUGUGUAACAAGCAAAUGCUUUUCUCUGCUUGUUAUAAUAAUUCUACUUCCUGAACCAAACCAAUCAUGGUUUCCUGCUUAAUAUUCUAACUGUUCCAAGUUAUCCACAUCAUCAAGAACAAUAAGAACCUUCUUAGAGUGGAGCCUAUCCUUUACAAAAUUGAUUCUUGUAUUGGAAAUUCCUACAUUUGGAUUUCCAUCCUUCAAUGUCUUUGAGAGAAGUUCCACUUGUAAAUGAUCUAGAACACAUUUUUGUGAGCCUUCUCUAACACUUGUAAAUGAUCCAAUAAUUGGUUCAAACAGUUCAAAAUUGGUCCAAUAAAUAUACCCUUCAAAAGGAGAAAUUGAACCAGAAAUGUCGCUUGGUGGUUGGAUCAAUUAGACCAACUGAUUUGUUUCAAUUUUCAAAAAAUAUUGCUUUAACAUGUAUGAUAAUCAAAAUAUAGGAAAAAAAACUAUUUACUAAGAAAUGAGAUUAUUAUAACAAAAUAGAAAAUGUAAUCUAUUUUAAUGAUAUGAUGACUUGUAACUAGAUGAAACUUUGACCAGCAAAGAAAAACAAACAAAUCUUGAGGAAUUAGAAAAUAUUAUCUUUUAUAUUAAACUUAUCUUUGUGUAAAAGCUCUCUACAAUUAACUAUGGGUUUUCAUAAAGCUUUAUUUAGGCUAUGUUACAUUCUUGGAAAUUAAAAAAAAAAAAAUGUAAGAAAUUAAUAAAUUAUUUUUUUCAUUAAUAUAAAUUAAAUAAUUAAAAUACCUAAAUUUUUCAAAAUUGUUAAUCAUGGUAGUGGGCCUUUGAUCAGCCAAAGAUAGCCCAUGCAUCAUUUGCCAAAAUUGUUAAUCAUAGUAGUGGGCCUUUGAUCAGCCAAAGAUAGCCCAUGCAUCAUUUGCCAAAGUGAAGCACAACAACCUUAUAAUAGGGAUGUCACAUAGUAAUUCAUUAUUCAUUAUUUUGUUUUCCCUUUUCAAUGUGGAUUUUCUUAAAGCUAUUAAAAAAUCACAUAAUAUCAAGAUUUGAGCAUGGGUCUUUCACAAUAUCUUUUAUAUACUAAUAAUUAUAAAUUAAUUAAAAUGAAAGAAUUAUAAAUAAGUUAAUUUUAAUUAUCUUAUUAUGUCUCUUAUACAAUGAUUUAAUAUAGGACAAAUAUAAAUUUAUAAAUAAAAUUAUUAACAUUUUCAAAUAAAAAAUAUAAAUAUAUAUCAAUAUAUUUUUUAUAUCCUUCAAUAUAUCUAAACUUAAUGCAUUAUCAUUUUAGUAUUAAUGUUUCCCAAUUCGGUAUAUUAUUAUCUAAUAUUACAAAUUUUUUAUACAUUUAUCAAUUUUUCUUAAAACAAUAUCAAUAUAUACAUCAUUAUUUUUCUAUCAUUUUUUGAGUUAUUUCCAACAUUUCAUGAGGUUUUAUCGAUUUCCAUCUCAUAUAUAUAUAUAUAUUUCAGAAUUUUCAUUGAUAUUUGUUUAUAUAUCUAUAAACUAGAACUAAUGAUAUAUCAGUAAAAAUCAAUAUUUUCAUUCUUAUUUAACAUAAGAAAGAAAAUUAUUCAAAUGGUGCAUAAAUUAAUGUGAUCUCCUGAUGAGAAUGACAACAACAACCAUGAGUCAUAGUUAGUGUAUGUGUGUGGUAAAUUAACUUAGUGUUUGAUAAAAUAAUUAUUUAUCAUCAUUUAAAAUUUAAAAAUAAAUUUAAAUAUUAAAUCAAAAUAAUUAACUUAUUCUAAAUACUAAAUUUUUUUAUUCUCUUUGUUCAUAUUUGGUGAUAACCAUGCUUUAUUUUUAGAAUUCUUUUUUUUAGUAAAUAUUUUUUAGUUAUUUUGUAGCUUCACAAUAGUACUUUUUAAUAUAAAUGUUUAACAAGCUUAAGUUUAUGAAGAUAAUUAUUAAGAAAAAUUAAUGAGUUUAAAUAUAUCAAUAUAAUAACUUUAAAAAAAUUAAGUUGAUUUUACCAAAAUUAAAGUAAAAAUAAUUCAUCUUAAAAUUAAUUUCAAUAAUUCGGUAAUAAGGAUUAAGUUGUAUCAUAUACUCUCUUAAUUAAAAAAUGACAUAACUUCUUUCAACAACUUCUUCAUUCUACUUUUGAAAAAAUAAGAUAAAUUAAAUUAAAAAUUAAAGUGAUAUUUAUUUAUUUAUUUAUGUCUAAAAUUUAAUGUACUUGAAUUUGACUUAAAUCUAACUAUAACUUAAUAUCAUUAAGUGUCUAGACUCUUUUUUUUUAUUAGUGUCUAAAUAUUAUUAACCGUUAAAUUGUUUAUUUUUAUUAAUAUCAAAAUAUGUGAAGUGUUAAAUUUAUUUAUUUUUGGUUAAAAACAUUUACAAAAGUAAUUGUUAUAUUUCUUCUUAUUUUAAUUUGAAAAGUUAUAAUUUAACAAAAUAGUAAUUUAAUUAACACAUCUAAAAAUAUUAUAAUACAUUAUCAAAGUAAAAAUUUUAUAAUGAUAAUUAUGUAAUUAGUAAAUAAUAUUAUUGUACAAUCCAUUGUUCCAUGUCGUAUAUUAUAGCAUAGUUGUGCAUACCCAUCAGUGCAUAGACAUAUCUUUUGAUAAUCUAUCAUGAAUGUCUCGUGGACUCUACAGGAAGUAUGUAGCUAUUAUAGUAUAAAGAUGGCGUAGGAAGAGGCUCCAGGUUUAGUAGUUCACACUCAACCAUAGCAAUAGGGAAUAUAUUGCACAUUAUUUCCAUCUAAAAGAAAGAUAGAAAAGACCUUAUAAAUGGAACUUUUAGAUAAAAACUAAGGGUCACAAUGAGAUGACUCUAAGAAGGAUCACCUCAAUCUCAAUCUUAUGUCAUUUAUUUAUAUUAAAUGGGGUGAGAUAAGACAAAAUUAUAUUCGAACCUGUCCUGAACUUGGUCUGAGGCCAAGAAGGGUCUCUAAAAUAAUAAGCCUCAUUGUCAUUCUUAGGUACACAUCUAUACCAAUGAAAGUUUUUACAUCUAUUAAAAAAUUCAAUGUUCCCGAUGUUAAUUAACUUCACUAGACUACAUACACUUAAAAUGCAUGAAAAAAUGUCAAAAUUCUCAACCAAUUAAUGACAUAAACUAAAAUCAAGUUUAGUACAUCAUAACCCUAAAAUACCUCCAAACCCCAUUUCUUGUAAGACCCCCUUCUGAUUAGGUUGCAAAUGUUGAAGUACUUUAUACACUUAAUUAGGUGAACAACAAGUGUCAAGAUAAGACUUCAAGCCAUACAUAUACAUAUGCAUAUAUAUUUAAAAUUGAAAGAAAAUAUUAUCAAAUUUUAAAAAGAUAAAUUUCAAAUUUUUUUUUUACCUUUGAUACAUUUUUUGAGCUUGUACCCUUUUGUUUUACAUAUUCAUUGGAGCAUUUCUUUGACUUCCCAAAGAACUUUUUUUUUUCUAGGACUAAAAACUUUUUUCCUUAAUCGACUUGGGAUAUUAUAUACACCCACAACCUAACUUAGUAGUUUUAAAAUUAAUUGGUUAAAAAGAAUGAAAUAAUCCCAAAAUUUGUAAAUAUAACAAGAUUGUGUUUUUACUUGAAAAGUAGCCCAUUUUGACAUAAAUGUCUUUCGCCAUUUCAAUUAUUUACAUUUAAAUUUAAAAAAAAAGUUAUGACAUUUUUGUCAAAAGAAGGACACAAAAAGAUCAAAAGUUAAAUUUCCAGAUUUAGUUUUUUAAUAGAUAUUUUAAUAAAAUAAACCUUAGUUUUAUAUCACAUAAUGUUUCUUCUUUAUUGUUCUUUAAUCCCUUUUAUUUAUUUAUUUAUUUUAUCAUACACGACCUAUUAAAUUUGAAAAUUUUAACAAUUUCUUGCAGUGCAUGCCUACGUGCUUAUCACAUGAGCUUCUCCAUCUAUACUAGCUAGGGAUCCAUUUGAUAAUUUCUUUUAGUGUCCACAUGCUUAUCACAUGGACCUCUUCACUUCUAUUAAUAGGGGUCCAUUUGGUAUUUCAAAAUAGUUCAAGGGCUUUGCUUAAGAAAAGCUUAGAGACUAGUUCGAAACAAUGUUUUUAGAACCCAACUAGUUAUUGAAUAAAAAAAGUUAUUGAUUCAUUGUCUAGUGGUCAAAUUAAUGUUUGAACUGCAGUCAAAUUGGUGACAUCAUAAAUAUAUAAAUUAUAUAUUAAAAAAAAUUAUAAAAUUAUAAAACUUAUUUUUCAUCUUUGACAUUUCCAAACUUAAAUCAUGAAUAAAUAUAAAUAUAUUAAUAUUUUAAAUUUUAUAAAUAAAAUUUGUGUAACAUUCAUAUGUAAAGAAAUAUAUUUAAAUAGAAUAAAAUUCUUUUGUUCAUAAUUUAUUUUACUUAUAUUAUAUUAUUUAGUUGUAUUACAAAAUUUAAAAUAAUUAUGUUAAUUUAGGUUUAGUUUGCAUUUUUUAAAUUAUAAUCAUUAAUAACAAAGUGGUGAUAGCCUAAACAUGAUCUAAAGGUCCAUGGUUCAAACCCUUGGUUCCUCAUCAUUUUCCUGGUCUCAUUAGGUGGGCUAGGCUUGGUAUGCGAAGGGCUAACCUUCCACCCAUGAUCCAACCUUUUAGUUGAUGAAAAAAGAAGGCUAACCUAGAAUCGAUAGACCAUGGUUCAAAGUUGUGGUUGCGGUCACUAACUUGGAGGGUCUUGCGGCACAUUGGUCUUGACAUCUUAGCUUGAUAUUAGAUGAUAUGUAAAAUAAGAUAAAUAAAAAUUAUAAAAUUAUAAAAUAUUAUAAUAAAUAUUUAAAAAAUAAAUAUAAUUAAAUAAACUUAAAAUUUAAUAAAAUAAAAUAUUAUGAAAAUUAAAAUUGUUCAAUAAAUUUUUAAUAUUGAAAUUGAAAACAAAAACUCUUUAAUUACCAAACUCAAAUUAAAAAAUAAAAUAAAAUGUGAUGAUUUUUACCACACAUUAGCAUUUAAAAAUUGAAACAAUAAAAUAACAUAUAUUAUUGAUACUAUCAUUUAAAACAACAAAUAUAUUGUUGAUAAUGGCAUUUAAAACUAUAAAAUAGUGCAUUAGACCUGCAUUCAAAUCUUCAAUUCUCAAACACCACCAACCCACCCAUGAAUAGAGAAAGAGAAGAGAACCCUAGCAAAAGUAGAGAGCUUCAAUUCUCAAAUCUUCAAUUUUCUUUUUAUGUGUUCAAGUGAUUUUUAUUUGUUAAAUGAUUCCAGCUACUACUUGGGUCUAGUAUUUCCUUGGUGUAUAUAUCAUGCACUUCUCAGUAGAAAGCCCAUAGACUAAUAUAAAGGAGAAACAAGUUUUUAUUUAUUUGCAAUGCCUAAUAUAAAAUUUAAUAAGCACCUAAUUUUUUAUUUCAGCUAUGAAUGAUAUUUUUCUCUAGAUCAUAAGUACGUUGGUUGAAUUAAAAAAAAUUUAUACCAUUUCAGCCACUAAUUAAUAUCAUGCAAUAGAAAAACAAAAUUGAAAUUUGGGAUAAUAAAUAUCAUUAAAGUACAAAGAAAGUAACUUAUUGGGAGCAAAUUCUUCACAACCUGGCAUUCGCCUUUAGAUUGAAUAAUUUAUUAAUAAUCUCCUCUUUCUUUCUAAACUUCACCGCUGUUUAUGAAAGUUUCUAAAAACCAAAGCCCAAAGCCUAGACUAUAAAAAGGAAACAAUCACUUGGAGAGGGGUUGUUUGUUUUUCUUGGGAGCCUAAUAAAUGCAACGGCAUAGACAGAAAGAGGCGGAAGAGUUGAGUCGGAGGAUCAAGAAACACAACCAUUCUUCUCUUUCAUUUCUAUACAUAUCCUUCCAUGCAUUCUCUGGCUCUCCCAUUCUCUUUUUCAAAGCUACAUCUUUCCUCAUAGACCCUGUUUGGUUUCUAAGAAAGUGGUCUAGGUCUCUUUCUUUUUCUUGAUUUAUCUUUGGUUUACAAGAAUCAGGAGUGAAGUAAAGUGGGCUCUUGAUUUAUGUUUGAUUUUUCUUAUUCAAACCUAUGUUUUGAUCUUUUCUCUCCAGCUCUUGUGGUCUAGGUCUAAUAUGCGUUGUGUUUUCUUUCUUUUUUCUUGGUUUUUGUUUGGUUUUCCAAGAAAGUGAAGGAAAAGGAACUCUUUACUCUCUUGGCAUAUUCCACUUAGGAUUGUCCUCCUACAUCCUUUGAUGCUUUAGUGUUUGGUCAUUAGUUGUUUUUAAGCCCUUAUUGAUGGUCCAUUAAGACAUUUUAAAGGGAUUAGGCGGAUCCCUAUCUUGAUUUUAGUGAUUUUUGAAUCUUAGUUUUAAUUGAUUUAUAACAUAUUUAGGCUUGUUUAGAACUUUUAAAAUUCAUAAUUUUGAAUGUGCCAAAUACCCCCUUCCAUCAAUUCCAACUGCAGCAACUGCCAUUCAAAGAUGCUAGCCACAUAUUAAACCCAUGCAUGAACCCCCAGCCAGAUACCCAUUUUUUCCUCCAUCCAUCAACCACCUUCUUACUCCCACCACCGCCACUGCUCACCAUUCCCACUUCUCCUCCACCACCAUGGCCACCACCGCUUCUGGCUCUGUCUUCCUCCUUCUGCUCCUUGCUGCCAGCGCUGCCGUUGAUGGCAGAGUCAUAAGCAACCGCACAUCGUCCACCGGCCUAGUCUCUGACGGCGUCCACGACCACCGCAAUGGUUUGCCUUAUCUUCUUCUCAGGUCUUUUUCGGCCGUUUCAGCCUCGGAUUCAUGUGAUCAUAUAGUAAACCCAAAUGGAAAUCAAACCUUCACAACCCGCUCACCUUUCCGAUGCCCGUGAUGAUCAAGUCUGGCACUCGAAAGAGAGAGGACAACUGGGUCAUCUCCCUCUUCGUGAUCCUCCACAUUGGGCCCUUCUUGCAUCGCCUUGGAUUUGAAACUGACCGGUUUAGAACCAUAACUCCUGCACGCGAGAGAGAUCACCAUAAGCCAUGCAAGGGAGCAUGCCAGUCACGUUCUCUAACUGCCAUGCAUCCGGUGAAGCGGUUUUGCGAGGAGAAGCCUCCAGAAGAGAAUCUUUUCGGUUGCGGGAAUAUAAAGAUCACGCCAGAAAGAAUAAAGAGGGCUGUUCUAGAGACUUCGGAGGAGGAGAGAGGAAAGGAAAACUGACAUAGAGAGUCUCUGUUUCUGGGCGUUUUUUGGAAGAGAGUUCAAAGAUCUUCUUUCUGUAGAAGAUCAUCACAUGCACCGAUUCAAAGAAUUUAGAGAACUUCUCGUUAGAGUCAAGGUUCUCAUCAUUCUAGACCUUCAUGAACAUCUUCUUCACGGCGGCAUUGGCAUCCCGAUUCCUGAACCUCCAUGAUUGAUUGAUCUCCAUCAUCUUCACGAUCGUGCACAAGUUCUGAAAGUAGAGACGUGAAUCUCUUCAUCGUCUUCACUCUCUAUACUUGUAUCUCGAAGGUUAUCCCGGUUUCUAUGUGCAUCGGAUCUCCAUAGGAAAAAUUAGAGAAUGAAUAGAGGUUGACUGUCAGCCCCUUAGACCCUUGACUUAACCAUGGAGGAAUAGGCCUCAUGGGUAGGCCUUGCACCCAUGAAAGCCUAGGAUGAAAGCAGGGAAAUCCUGGAGGUUUGGUGGUUCAAACUCUAGGAGGCAUGUGAGGAGGCCGCAGGUGAGCCAGACAAGCACUGCGCGCGCAUCGCGGGCGAGGCAGACACGCACCACGCGCACACAGUGGGCAAGCCAGACGCGCACCGCGCGCGCACAGUGGGCGAGCUAGACGCGCACCGCAUGCACACCACAGGCGAGCCAGACAUGCACCGCGUGUGCACCAGAUGGGCAUCGCGCGCGCAUCUGACUUAGGUGGUGCAGAUGAAGGCUGAGGGACUUGGAAUUUUAAUUUAUAAUUAAAAUUAUUAUUCCAUUAUGCCUUCUCAGACAUAUUGAUGUCUCCUCAAGAAACAAUGAAAAUGGCUCGUAUUGCUCUUUAAGGGGGGGGGUAGGUGACUCAAAGGAGGGAGCCACCAAGAGAAGCCUUGACCGCACCAAGGGGGCACCAUGGCAUGGCCUUGGGCGUGCCUAAGACACACGACAUGACUCGAGCACGCACACAUGGGCUCCACGACAUGUGUGGUGUGCACCCCAUGGCCGCAACGGCACGGGGCCUGGUGCGGCCUGACCCCUCCCCGUGCAGGCACGAGGGAACCUAAGCCUUGUGCGGUAAGCCAGUUAAUGAAACCAUGGGCACAAUGCCAUGGUCUGAUGGCUCCAAUAGCUGACUCGCAUCAAGAUGCCUACGCAAAGCACAGGGUGCAAUGCCCUGUGCACCAAGAGGGAUCAGUCAUGGGCGCAAUGCCAUGGCUCGUUGCUUGGAAGCUGGGAAGCAAGCAACAAGCCCAAGCCAUGGGCACCUAGACAUGGCAUGGGUUCAUUCAUUAGUGUGGGGAAGGCACACUGAUGCACUAGACGCUUGGUCAAAUGGGUGGAGCACGUUGCCUGGCUUAGAGGGCCUUGAUCAAAGACAUGCUGAUGGGCACCUGGUCACAAGAGGCACCUUACGGGGGAGGGGUCAGCUUGUUAGGGGGACUCACCAGUAGCUUGGCGAGCAAGACCUGAGGAGAUGGCAGUGCAGCUAGCUAGUGGCAGCUAGCUCAGUGACCAAGUCAAGCCGUCAUUUGAACUGCAGUUGGCUGAGGGAUGAUGGCUGGUGCAAGUGGGUGGCAUGUGCAGGCCACUAUCUAGGUGGUGGGUGGUUAUGCAGGGCAGUUGAGGGCGGUUCUGGCCAGUUGCAUAACCACCAAAGUUGGCUUCAAGAUUUGAAUUGGAAAUUCAAAUUUGUAAUUGCAGCUUGAGUCUUUUAAAAGGGCUCCUGCAGCCUUCAAACAGGGAGAGAGAGUUUUGGGGAAAGGGUUCCUUCUCGUAUGCCUUGGGUGAGAGCAUUGUACUCUAGUUCAGGAAGCAAUUUUGUCUUGCAAGAGUGAUUAAUACAAGUUAGGAAAGGAUUCUCGUAACCUCAUGUGUCCCUGUUGCUUUGUUAUUUCUGUGUUCUACUCUGUUUUUCUAAACGUUAGGAUGGAAGGUUGGCUAAGGACUGGUCCUUAGCACCGCGCACUCGUGAAAAAUUCAGUGAGAUAUUCAGGGGUAUGACACUGACCAUGAUUACUAUAUCUAGAUAUAUGUUAUGGAAUAAUGGCAGUUGUAGUAAAUAAUACACAAUGGGUUACAGGAUAAUGUUGAUGCUUGUUGAUUUUUUUAAUAAAUACUACAUAUAGAAAAGUAGAUGUAUAACCAGCCAUAAGUGUUUUUAGUGGCUCUUGAUUACAAGUUAUUGUGCCUUGUUCAUAUGUAUUAUUUUUUUCUUCUACAUGUUUAGUGUUGUCAUUUUAGUUCCAAGUAUAAUAUUCGAUUCCUUAAUUCUAAUCUUUAUUGCCAAUAUUUUCACUUUAUUCAUGAUUUUUUUGAAUACAUGUUAGUUUAGGUUGGGUGUGGACAAUUUGGGCUACGCAUGAGUGUUGUUAGAAUUUGAUAUUUAGGAAACUAAAUGAUUAAAUGUGGAUUGCUUGGUGAAUUAUGAUUGAGAUUGAGUUAUUUUUUUCUCUUUUUAUUCAAAACUUCUUUUCAUCUAAAUAAGUCAUUGGAUAAUCACAUGAUAAUUGGCUUUGAAUAAAUUCUCCUCAUUUUGAUUCUUAGAAAUUUGAUUUGUCUUAAUUUUCUAAAAUAAUUCACACAUGUACAUUUACAUUUUUUAAUAAUCCAAAUUUAAAAAUAUACAUGAACCGUUUUCCUUUUUUGGAAAAUUGAUUUUAUACCUCAUUCAUAACAAGAUCAAUCUUAGUCUCUUUGAUAAUGGAUGGCUUUUGUAUUUAAAACCUAUCUUAGUCUCUUUUAAGUAGAAAAUUUCAAUUUCUAAAAAGAAUAAUGCUGCCCAUUUUAUUUGGUAUGCAACUUUGAAAGGUUUUAAAAUAUUUUUCCCUUAAUCUAGACUUCUUAAAUUUAAUUUUUGACAUAUUAAAUAUUAAGAAAAGAUUUCUGAAAUGAGAGAUAUAAUUUUUUUCUUUUUGACCUUGCUGCACCUAUGCUCCCCUAGAGCUGAAGGAUGUUUACUUAUUUUUAAAUGUGUCAUGAAUGUAACAUUGCCUUGUGAUUAUUAUUUUUUAUUAAAAAUAGACAUGUUAGCUAGUUGUACGAAUUUUUGUAUGAUUUUAGGACAUCUCCAAGUUAAUUAAAAAAAUAAGUUCUUGAGUAUUUUAACAAAAUGCCCUGUUCUGAACCUACUAAUAUCAUUAUGAAAUCUAGUACUAAAUGAGAGCUAAUUGAUAAAUUGGAUGAUAAAGUAGACAUAUAGAAGAUAUUCUUUGAAAAUUUUUGUAAUGAAAUUCAACUUCUAGAUAUUUGUUUUUGAUUUAUUAUAUCCCCUGUUUUGACCAUUUGCUGACUUUUUUUUUUUCUUUUUUUUUUUUUUUUUGUAAAAGAACUCAUUUGUAAAUAAAUUUGACAUUGAUUAUAUAUAAGUUUAGUUUGUAAUUCCUUUUUGAAUUCAUUACUAUUAUUUGUGAGUUAAUCUCAUUUCUAUGAAAAUGCUUUAAGAUGCUAAAACAGGUAUGCAAACCCUCUUUUCAUAAUUUAUUUAAAUUAAAGCUUAUGAUUGAACAUUGUCUAUUAGAGUUUGCUAGUUGUGUUGAGAUUUAUGACUUUAAAUUUGACUUGUUAUGGAAUAUGUGAUUGCUUAGAAUACAAUGUGAUGCUAUUGCUUGUUAUCUAACUUUUGUGUUUUUUGGAACCGCUCAAAUUAGGUAUGCCUUUCUUCAUAUAAUUGAUGAAUUGUAUUGAUGUGUUUUAUUUAGUUCAUAGUAUCCAUGAAUCAACCAAUUGAUCUUCGGAAUUAUUUCAAUUUACUUAGUAGAGACCUAGCUUUUAGGGCUUAGAGGGACGCUAUAGUUCUUCAUUGUACCUUCCUGAUAAGUAAUCUGAUACUCGAACUUAGACUCGGGUUUUCAAAGACAAGCAUUUCUAAAUAAAAAGGAGUCAUUUUCUAGGGUUUUUCUUUCUUAUUUUGUUUGUCAUUUUAAAAAAAUAAAACGAAAAUAAGUGGUGACUCCAUUAUUUAUAAAAUUGGUUUUUCACAAACAAAAAGUGAGUGUUGCCAUCGAGUGAGAAUGCAUGUGAAAAUGCGGGAUCACAAACGGUGAAGUAAAGUGGUUCUUGAUUUAUGUUUGACUUCUGUUUUUUAAACCUCCAUUUUGAUCUUUCCUCUUCGGUUCUGUUUGGUUUCCAAGAAAGUGGUCUAGGUCUAAUAUGGACCAUAGUUUCUUUCUUUUUCUUGGUUUUUGCUUGUGUUUUUCUUUUUCUUGGUAUAUCUUUGGUUUACAAGAAACAGGAGUGAAGUAAAGUAGGUUCUUUAUUUUUGUUUGGUACUUUGGUUUCUCGUUCUCAAACCUACGUUUUUAUCUUUCCUUUUAUGCUCUGUUUGGUUUCCAAGAAAGUGGUCUAGAUCUAAUAUGCACUGUGCUUUCUUUCUUUUUCUUGCUGUCUGUUUGGUUUACAAGAAGCAGGAAUGAAGUGCAGUGCAUUCUUGAUUUCUAUUUGGUUUCGAAUAAAGUGAAGGAAAAUGAUGUCUUGCUUGUUAUAUAAUCAUUGAUAAGACGCCCAGGGUAAGAACCUCAUAUUCCUAAAAACAUGCUUACCAAUGAUUUUGCUUGAGCUCUUAGAAAUAAUCUCAAAUAAUCUCACUUAAAGCUCUCAAAUAGUAAUCUAUGUCCACCAUGAUAAGACAUGAUGAAAUAAGCCCCACAAAAAUAGUAUUUCAGUGCCAUUAUUUGAACCCAAGAUGAGCCCCAUGGCUCUAUCGUUUGCCUUUCUCAAGCAAACCCUACAAAGUGAAGGCUUCUUUUCUAUUAUUUAACUGUGGAGUGAGGUAACCACAAGGGAGAACCAUCAAGUAGACGCUAUCUCUUUUGCUUUCACUCUUUAUCACUGCUUUAAGUCUAAUUAUGCCUUAGAAGUAGAAACUAUGCACUAACCAUUCUCAGGUCCCACAACCCACUAUUCAUAAGCAUCAGAGUGAUGCUGUGCAUGAAGAUACUUGUACAAGGGUUUUAUGUCAUGCAACUUUCGGUGAAUCCAAUAUGUUACGAACUCCACAAAAACAAUAUAUGCCAUGAUGUACACCAAGUAGGCAAACCAGCCAACUUCACUUAUUCUUGAAAAGCACUUUGUCCACCCAUUUUCGACUGCAUACUCUGAAAAUGUUGGGAGAGCAGCAAACCAGGGAAAACUCCUCAUGGAAGCUUUGACGUGCAAAACAAAAAUGCACUAUUGGAAUAACAUGUAAUUAAGAGCUCAAGAAGACAUGCCAUUCCCUAAUGAAACAACGCUAAGCACUAUUGGAAUAAGCACGCAUUUAAACAAAACUGACAUAGAGAGUCUCUGUUUCUGGGCGUUUUUUGGAAGAGAGUUCAAAGAUUUUCUUUCUGUAGAAGAUCAUCACAUGCACCGAUUCAAAGAAUUUAGAGAGCUUCUCAUUAGAGUCAAGGUUCUCGUCAUUCUAGACCUUUAUGAACAUCUUCUUCACGGCAGCAUUGGCAUCCCGAUUCCUGAACCUCCAUGAUUGAUUGAUCUCCAUCAUCUUCACGAUCUUCACGAUCGUGCACUAGUUCUGAAAGAAGAGACGUGAAUCUCUUCAUCGUCUUCACUCUCUAUACUUGUAUCUCGAAGGUUAUCCCGGUUUCUAUGUGCAUCGGAUCUCCAUAGAUGAACUCGGAUUUUGCAUUGAUCUGAAUCUCAAGCAUGCAUUAUUUCCAUAUUGUGCUGCCAAACUUGGUGUUUUUCUUCAUUUAUUCUUCACCACAACAGUUGGACAUAAAGGUUAGUCUCAAUGAAUCUUUACCAUUUGAAUUAGUUUAUUAAUGAUUUUUAAGUUAUUCAUUGAUGAAGUUAAGGCUAAUAGAUGAAAUUGGUUUGUUGAUUUUGAAACUCACGGCUGUUUGUGACAUGCUUUUAUCAAAAUUAGAGAAUGAAUAGAGGCUGACUAUGAUUACUAUAUCUAGAUAUAUGUUAUGGAAUAAUGGCAGUUGUAGUAAAUAAUACACAAUGGGUUACGGGAUAAUGUUGAUGCUUGUUGAUUUUUUUAAUAAAAGCUACAUAUAGAUAAGUAGAUGUAUAACCAGCCAUAAGUGUUUUUAGUGGCUCUUGAUGACAAGUUAUGAUGCCAUGUUCAUAUAUAUAUAUAUAUUAAUUUUUUCUUUUUUUAAUCCUAUCUAUGUUGUUGAUAUUAAUGCAUUGAAUUUGAUGUUACCUAAAACAAAAUUAUAUUCAUGUCCUCUAUUAUAAGUGGACAACCAUUCUUUAUGUUAGAUUUUAGAUAAAGAACGAAUAUUGAAGAUUGGAGUUGUAAGAAAUUAGGAGAUCCUAAUUUUAAAUAUGUAACAAAGUUCUAUAAUCACUUCAAUCCACAUUUAAAAAUUGUAUUUCUUUCUAAAAUGGGAUCAAACUUUUUCCUUCUUUCUUAUAAAUUUCAUUUGGGAAUGAUUUAAAAAUAAAUAAAUAAAAGCCCUUCUAAAUAUUAAAAAAACACUCUCUUAUAAAAUUUAAUUAGGUGGAUGGUUAGGUCAAAUUCGGGAUAGCUUCAUAUUUUUUGCUUUAACUGAAAAUUAAAAUCAAAAUUAAAGUAAUAAUUUUUAAGAUGUUGUAAAAGUUAUAUUAAACAUGAAAGAACUUAUUGUGUAAACAAAAAUAGAAUUAUAGAAUUCUUAUAAGAAAUAACAUUUUUAUGACUUCUAUAUGAAACUUUUUAAAAAAUUUAUCAGUUUUUCUUUUUAAAAAAUAAUUAAAUAGGUAUAAAAAACUUUUAUUCAACUUAAUUUUUUUUAACUCUUGAAAGUAAAUCCAAAUAAAAUUUAAAUAUAUUUGAAAAUCAUUUUCAAAAAUCCAAAAAAUCACCUAAAAAUAAUUUCAAAUUUUUUUUAUUUACAUUUAAAUACUAAGUGAUUCUUUUAAAAAUCAUUUGUAAUGUCAAAAUAUUUUUUUAUGGAUAAAAAUAUUACAAAUAAAAAACAUUUCAAUCACAAUUAAUUUAUUUUUAAUUCAUGAAAUUUCAUUUAUUGUUACUUAUUUUUUGGGAUUUAAUUCUUUACAAUUAUUUUUGAGUGUUUACAUAGAAUAAUUAGGUUAUGCCCAAAUUUAUUCCUUUAACUCUAUCCAUCAGAUAUAAGUAUCGUGAAAUUUUGGCCUGUCUCCACCUUUCUUCGCUUUUGACAUUGUCAUGCACUGCUUCCUCAACUCCAAACACAACCGCUGAGGAUCGAAGAAAAUGAGACAAUGGUCAAUGAAUAAUUUAUUAAUUUUUUUCUUAAUUUAAUAGCAUUGGAAUGUCAGUUGGAACAAACCAUUUGAUGAUCUUUUUCAUAAGUAUCCAUUUAGAUCAUAGUCUUUUUAAAAUAUUAGAAUAAAUCAAUUAGUCUAAGCUAUAUCAUUUAUAAUUUUUUUAUUAUUAAUAUGAUACCUAUCCUUUCACGGAAUUGAAAUAAAAUAUGAAUAAUUAAAAAAUGUCAACUAUCCAUGAUAUUUGAUACCAAACUUUUCUAAUACAACAUGAUAUCAUGUUGAAUGAAAUGGGAAUCACCAAAUGUUCUCAAAUCAAAGAUAUAUCUACAGGGGACACGUCAAAUUCUCUUUUUAUAAUCAAAGGCUUCCAAAAAAAUUCAACCAUAGCAUAUCUCAAAGAUUAGUCAAAUUCCAUUAUUUUUAUAGACUUCUAACAAUUCAAGAAAUUGACAUUAAUAAUCCCAAACACAAUAUUCUGCAACUUUACAUUAUUCUUUUUAUUGUAAUUGAAGAGGAAUACCAACUUAGUCAAAUAGAAAAUAAAUCAUGAAAGCUGAAUAAUACAAAUAUUCAGUGAAAUCUUUGGCAUGUUAUUUCUUUGCAGCUUCAACAUGGUGGCAUGUCGGAUGGAGGAGGCAGCAUUUGAGCUUCUGGGUGUUUACCAUUUUUCACUAUGAAUGCAGUUUCCAUGCCCCAAGUCACAUGGCGUUCUACAUGGCAAUGCAGGAACCACACUCCUGCAACAGAGAAAAUAUAUCGAGAUUACACCUAACUUAAUUGUAAUAUUAAAAAAAAAUUAUUUCAUUGGUAUGCAAGUUGGCAGUAUCAAGGGUUUUUUUCUUUAAUAGAGGACAUGAGUGCUUGCAACGUACCAGGGUUGGAUGCCUUGAAUCUGAUUGCAACCCAACCUUUCGAAGGAACAGAGAUGGUAUUCUGAAGGGGAGGAUCCACCAAAUUAUAGUGCAAAGGGUCCCUAUUUUCAUCGAAAUUCCUAAAUCCCCAUCCAACAACAUAGAAACUGUAUCCAUGGAGAUGCAUAGGGUGGUGUGUCUCUGCAAGCACGGCUGUCCCUUGAAGAACAAUCUCCACUGUGGAGUUAUACUCGAGCACCCUUACUUCUGUUCCACUGCUCGGCAACUGAUAGAUUAAUGGAAGAUAAUCAUAUGUAAAAUCGAAC
rnacentral:lncRNA from 1 species